AGCGAACGCUGGCGGCAGGCCUAACACAUGCAAGUCGAACGGAUCCUUCGGGAUUAGUGGCGGACGGGUGAGUAACACGUGGGAACGUGCCCUUUGGUUCGGAACAACUCAGGGAAACUUGAGCUAAUACCGGAUGUGCCCUUCGGGGGAAAGAUUUAUCGCCAUUGGAGCGGCCCGCGUCUGAUUAGCUAGUUGGUGGGGUAAAGGCCCACCAAGGCGACGAUCAGUAGCUGGUCUGAGAGGAUGAUCAGCCACAUUGGGACUGAGAACCGGCCCAAACUCCUACGGGAGGCAGCAGUGGGGAAUCUUGCGCAAUGGGCGAAAGCCUGACGCAGCCAUGCCGCGUGAAUGAUGAAGGUCUUAGGAUUGUAAAAUUCUUUCACCGGGGACGAUAAUGACGGUACCCGGAGAAGAAGCCCCGGCUAACUUCGUGCCAGCAGCCGCAGUAAUAC
rnacentral:rRNA from 1 species